UGAGGUUUGUGGAGCAUUAAACUCUUUGUGCUCUGUGAAUAAAGGCCUGCCUCUAAUACAAGCCUGAUUCAUAUAAAGGCCUGGUACCUCAGGCAGUAUAAGCAAAUGAAAGAUAUUUGGCACUCAGAUGGCACACUUGGCCUCACUACCUUUAGAAAGUACCACAACUUUAAAUUUGAGGUUGGAUCUUCUAUCAGUGUAAAACAACGCCCUCUAACUGUGAACAGAUUCCAAGGCUGGAGACUCACUGAGGUCUUCUAAUGGUUCCUGGUCUCUGGAGAAAGUUCUUGCAGUGGGAACACAGUUCUAGUCUUUACUUUGUGGACAAACAGCCUCUCCAAUUCAGCUGUAAAAGCAGCAUCAUUCCUGUUUCUAUGUAAAAGUAGAAUUAUUUUGAUGGUGUUGCUUUUUGUUGCCAGGAAACACAAUAAUUGCGGUGUUUACAGAAACCUUUCAGAACAAAGUGCACUUCAAUGAAAGCACAACAAGGCGGCCAGGAGUGUCAGGAUCUUAAGAAAGAGCGAGGAGAUGCCGCGAAUGAUGAAGUGAGCGGUGUCUGUGCGACUGAACGGUCUCACACUCAGGAGGGGAUAGUCAAAGAGUCAAACAGGUUUUUACUUUCUGUUAACCUGCAGGAGCAAAGUGACUGAGUUAGUGGAAGGAUGUUACACGACAGCUCAGUUAUGACUUCUGCUAGACCUCUGAAGAAAAACAACCACUUUAACUAAGCCUGUUGAAAUUACAAAUCUGACAUUUAGAAGCUGCUUAUGAAAACAGUAAACACGCUGAGUGAGAUUUCAGAGGGCUGAAAGCAAAACAAGCAAACGAAAGAGAAAACUGAGAAGUUCACGUAGCAGAAAUAGAUCUCAUGCAUUAAUUUAUAGAAGGGUUUUAUGGUGUCACAUGACCUGCAGUCAUUAUUCCCCAGUCUCCAAUCGGUGCUUUGGCUCCAGACCUCUGCACCUACGAUGACGCAUCCACCAUGCAAUAAAAACAGUUAAAGGUGAGAUAUGAAAUGAUAAAACACAGUCUUUAAAUUUGCAUUCUGAAAAGCUCGCUGCACAAAACAAACAUUAAAAACAGUAAAAUUAGUCCAUCAUGUAACCCGCUCUGCAGCAUGAUGACAGAAGACGGUGUCAGAGACCACCGAGUUUCCAAACCUCAAGAUUCAAGAUGUUUUAAGCACAGGGGUGCACUUGUUGAUGUGAGUUUUAUUCAUUUUAAAGACUUUGCAGAGGUCUGUGUUAAAAAUUCAAAAAAUUUGCAUUUGUAUUACCUGUGCCCUGAAGGGAUUUUUUACAGCAAUUUUGCAUAUUUUUAAUCAUCUCUCUCUUAAAAAGUAGAAACUCAAUCUCUGAUAACUUUCUUAAACCUGACCAAGUUGUCUUUGUACACAAAAGUCACCCAGCUUCAACCGUUUUACCCUGUUGUUUUAACUAAUGCGUAUCCAAAGCCUAAAAUGGUGUAAUUCUCUCCCUAUCAUCAUAAUUUACUGCUCCUUGUUAAAAAGCUACUUAAAGUGGAUAUUUAUUUGUACUCUUCUUUUUAAGCUCAGAAUCACCUAAUCAUAUUUUCAGGUAUUUACAUGGCCUGCAAACAAACACAAAGUCCUCAUAUUUCUCACUGCUACUAAUGACAAAUAUCUGGUUCAGCUAAAGCUCGACUUAAACAUCAGCAAGGGGACAUAAAAACAUUUGUUAUAUCAUUGAGUUUCAGCCCGAAGAUAUCCUGAGUUUGCCCUUAUUACACUGUGAAACCUGAUACUCCUUUUCAAAAUAUUAGUAUCUAUCAACAGAUUUAAAAAUUAGGAACACUGAUUUAAUCAAAACAAACCUCAUACAGAGUCAUGCAUGUGAAUCACUAAGACUAGAGGAGUGCCUGAAUUACAUUAUGUCUCAUAUUUGGAAGCAUAAGGCUGCUGAUCGAGCUGCUAGAUUUAGUUGCCGUUGUGGAUGCAGUUGUCUUCAGUGUUUUGUGUCUGGGUGCAGCUCGAUGCCGCAGUGAAGUCCCCCAGACAUCCUAAACGAGAGCUGUCACAUAAGACAGCCUUUCUCUUAGACGCAAUGCAAAACAAUUUCCUUUGAACAGACAUCCUAAAAUAGAAGAGCAGAGAUGUUAUGACUGACUUGACCAUGUUUUGUUUCACUUUCCAUUCAUUCUGUUCUCUUGAAAAGCAAGAGCGAGCUCAAGGCCGACACAACCGGCAGAUGAACUCGACUUUCUCAGUGAGAAAAGCAGCUCUAAAGUUUUUCAAUUACAUUCAUUUAUCUUCAAAACUAAUCGGCAAAAAAACAGAAAAAUCUUGGACAUUUAAACCACUGACUGUUCUAAUACAUAUCUGCAAGGAAACGCUUGCAACAUUGUUUGGAAAAGAGGAUUUAAUAGGCUGAUUAUAAUUACUGUGAGGCUGAGGCUGCAUCAAUCUGUGACAUGCAGUAUAAACACAGGAAGUUAAUCUCAAAACAAAUAAGAAGACUCGUCUUAUUAAUGAUAACAGGACAAAAAAAGAACAUCACAGAGACGCUGUCAGUGUGUCUGACUCUGAAUAUUCUCCUCCCACAGAUGCCUGUCUGCAUGGACGAACAGACCCAGUGAGUAAUGGUGUUUUCUCCUCCUUCUCUCCUCUGCAGAGCAACAAUCCAUUAAAAUUGUGUCCAUUACAUUCCUCCACCUCCGUGUCUUUCAACUCACCUGUCUGGGGACGAAUACCGUUGGGCAGAGGAAAUUGAGCAAACACCAAAAGAGUCAUUUUUCAAGGCAGCAUAUUCAUUUAGAGAGAAACACACACAUGAACACACACGGGAAAUGUUUUACAGCCGCAGAGUGAGUAUGCAGAGCAGACAGAAAAUGGAUGCAAAGACAUGAGUGUGAAAGCCUGACAUGAGUGUGAAAGCCUCUUUCCCUGUCCAUAUGGUUAUGUUGUCUGUAUGGCUGACAAAUGAAGCUUUACAGCCUUAAAAACUGCAGUUCUUUAAGUGUCCACUAGAGGUGGUGUCUAAAAGUGAGUCAGUCCCCAUGGAGACCCAUGAUAAAACUUUAAAGUAGAAACAUACAGUUUUACAGCCUGGUACAAAACAGUUUGGGUGUAAAUACAAUAUUUCUUAAUAAAUGAAAACUGUGCUGGACUGAAUUUAUAGAGAACCUGCCGGUUUUGACCAUAGACUGUAUAUACUAUGGACAACUUGGUUCCACCUUCCGCCUGUAUACGGAUUUGGAGCAAAAACGCUCCCGGUAAUUCUGUGUUUUUUCCUAUAUUUCCUGAAACCAACAUUGCGCAGUAGCGUUGUACGCAUUCGGCGGGAGAGUCGCCGAGAGUCGCUGUGAUGACCCUCGACUCAAACAGCUACGCAGGUGAGCUACGCAAUCCUUGUACACCCAUAGGCUGUAUCAGGUGUCAAUCAUAGAAAACAUGAACUCCCUAAUAACUUUUAAAAACAGAGCUGUACAGAAAAAAGAGGACUUGAGCACAAACCAGUCUUAUAAUAACUCCAUGUCAACUCACAAGCAGGGGGGAGAAAAAUUUAUGUUUGUUGUAAUUAAUCUCUAAAGUUUGUCCACAGCCCCAUAAGCUUUGCUGGCGGAGGCGGGAUUUAUGACCUAUACUGCAGCCCAUCACCAGAGGGUGCUGUUCUCGGAGUCGCUUCCCCCAGCAAGGAGGCAGACGCUGUCCAUUCUUUAUACAGUCUAUGGUUUUGACGAAGUUGAAGCCAACAGUUGUGUUUACUUACAGACUGAAGUCAUUAUUUCCUCUUGAAUUGAAGCAACUUUUGGGCCUCAAAACACCUCUUCACUAUCAAAUGUGUGACGUCACUGAGACUAUGUCCAUGUUUUAUACAGUAUAUGUGAUGGGCUUACGUAAAUUCAACACCCAUUAUGUCAAAGAUUCAUGAAUUUCCUAAAAUCUACAAAGGCCCCGUGCUCUUUCUCAGGUUCAUCCAUCUUUACACAUAAGUCACUGUAUAUACUGUAUAUAUUGACAGGGAUAAACCAGGUAUGCCCUCAUGGUUGCACCAGCUCCAGUCCAUAGUUCCCCGCUGACAUAUCAGGGGGUGAUGCUGGGAAUCUUGUAAGUGCAGCAAUUAGGAUGCAGUCCAGCAGAGCAGUCACAGUGCUUAAGGUCUGCAUAACUUUGACAUGAAGUUGUAUUUUUGAGAAAGUGCACGUAAGGCCAUGUACUUAAGUUUCUGCACAAACUCCUGAUGGGCAGAUGAAGCUUUAUGAAGCUCUGGGGCUUUCUUUGCUGAAAAGAUUCGAAGCUUUGAAGCUUCAGACUCGGCAAACUCAGGGACAUCUGGUGGCUUGUAAAACUAAUGACAGCCCCCCAAAUGCAUUCCCCAGAUUUAGUGUUUUUAAGAGAUAAAAGCUGUAUGUUAUGAAGAAAUACUAUCUGUAUAUCCAUCUAUACACAUCUGUCUCUUAUUCAAAUUUACCAGACUACUGUAGUGCGAGUUUGUUGCAAAUAAUGUAUAAUCUGUGUGUAAUCCAAAAACACUAGUAUGUAUUUGCACAUGUAGGACAUGAGUUAACAUGUUUCAGAGUGAAUGAUGCAGCAGAAAUUUGAUGUAGAAGUAGAAAUCAGGCUUAAUUUGCAUAAAAACCUGGUCACCUCUAUCACCUGAACGACUAAUCCAGUAACUCAAAGCUGCUUCUCAAUGAAAAAAGUCCACCUGUGCUGCUCUCUGUAUCGCCAGACAAACGCCGUUUUGGGGCAGAAGGAGAGACCAAAUGUUUUCUUGUGGGUUUCAUGUGUCUGCAUCCCAAACAAGCAGGCUUAAAGAAGUCAGACACACCGUUUGACAUUCAUCUCAUACCGCCUCCUCCUCAUCCUGUCUCCUCUCUCCUCCGCCUCCUCCUCCUCCUCUUUCUGCUGCUGCUCACAGUGUCCUGAUAAGCACUCUGCAGACAGCCUCCCUACACUGCAGACACCGAGAGGGAUGAGCCUCAUCUCUCUCUGUCCAACACACAACUGUUCACACGAGAUACAAGGAAAAAAACAAACACUCUGAUUUUAAGUCUCUCUAAACACUUCAUAUUAAAACACCGCAGUGAGGUUUUACACAGAUAUUAGAAGGUUUUAUUCAUGUCAGGGUUUGUUUAAAUAAACAUUUAUAAAAACAGGAAUUGAUGCUUUCUAUUUGAGAGACUCAGCUUCUCUGAAUGUCCUUUUCAUGUUACUAACCUGUUGUAAAUGAACCUCAUUAGUUGGGAGAUGUUCCUCCAGCAGUUUUUUAAGCAUUGCACAACUUUGGACCUGUUUGGUUGUUCCUGGAACAAAUGUUUAGAAACAUCAAAUUUAAAAUCAGAAUGUAUUUUUCACUAAAGAAUGACAUUUUUCAGCUUUUUAAAAAAUACAUAUAUUUUUAUUGAAAAUUUUAUAUAGAUGAACAUACAGAGGGAUCACAAUGGAAAAAAGAAAAAGGAGAAAAAUAUGUAUGUAUAUAAAACCAAAUUAAGCUCAUACAUGAGUUCGCCAACACUGAGGCUGUGCACAAAACAGGAAGAUAAGGUUCACAUGGAUUUGAUCACAAUCACAAAUACAGGAUGGGUGCUAAGUGGUUAUUAAGUGGGCACAGUUUUAAGUUUACCUCAAUGUUUCAACACCGUAUCCCAGACAGAAAAUAAUUUGUCUCUAGGCCCUCUGAGAGUAUAUUUUACCUUCUCUAAUUGUAUGAAUUGUGUCAGGUCACUAAACCACACAGAUACUUUGGGUGGGUUUUUUGAUUUCCAAAGUAAUAAAAUUCUUCUACGUGCAAGCAGCGUCGUAAAAGCAAUUAUGUUUGUAUAAAUUUUCCUUAAUAUUGUAUAUCUCCUAUCUGUGGUACCAAAUAUGGCCAUUGCUGCGUUGGGUUGAAGAUUAAUAGUCAAUGCUUCUGACAACGUUUUAGACAUUUUUCAGUUUUAACGUUUAAUAUGUGGUCUGUUUCCUCUUCUCAGCUCAGCUUUCACUUUGGACAUCCGUCCCAGGGGACAAGACAACUGAGUGGGUAAGACCCUGACUUUUUUCUUGCACAAAAGCACUAAGAUUUAAAAAAAAUACUGCUCUUAAAGGCUAACUGGGAGAACUUGAAGUCAAGUGUUUACUUACUGCAUCAGCCCCACUGGUAACCAAAAUAAUCACUCCUCUUGUGGGCGUUGACGUGCAUUGAUCCAGCUCAUGUUAACCAGCAUUGAUUUCUGCUCCGUUAAUAACAUCAGAGGAGCCGCUUGUCUGUUCUCUGCUGCAGCAGGAGGAUUAUAAUGAUCACUGUCUGUGGGUUUUUGUUUGCCUGAGGGACAAAAUAGACUUGAGGACACAGAGAAAAUUGACCUGCUGAUAAUCAGUGACAGGCUUCAGGUUGGUGGAGGAAUAGGACUUGUUGAUGUCUGUCUGAGCCGAGACAAAA
rnacentral:lncRNA from 1 species